UACGAAGGUGGCAAGCGUUGUUCGGAUUUACUGGGCGUACAGGGAGCGUAGGCGGUUGGAUAAGCCCUCCGUGAAAUCUCCAGGCUUAACCUGGAAAGUGCAGAGGGGACUGUUCAGCUAGAGGAUGGGAGAGGAGCGCGGAAUUCCCGGUGUGGCGGUGAAAUGCGUAGAGAUCGGGAGGAAGGCCGGUGGCGAAGGCGGCGCUCUGGAACAUUUCUGACGCUGAGGCUCGAAAGCGUGGGGAGCAAACAGG
rnacentral:rRNA from 1 species